rnacentral:rRNA from 1 species
CCAGACUCCUACGGGAGGCAGCAGUGGGGAAUAUUGCACAAUGGGGGAAACCCUGAUGCAGCGACGCCGCGUGAGUGAGGAAGUAUUUCGGUAUGUAAAGCUCUAUCAGCAGGGAAGAAAAAAUGACGGUACCUGACUAAGAAGCACCGGCUAAAUACGUGCCAGCAGCCGCGGUAAUACGUAUGGUGCAAGCGUUAUCCGGAUUUACUGGGUGUAAAGGGAGCGCAGGCGGUACGGCAAGUCUGAUGUGAAAGCCCGGGGCUCAACCCCGGUACUGCAUUGGAAACUACCGGACUGGAGUGUCGGAGGGGUAAGUGGAAUUCCUAGUGUAGCGGUGAAAUGCGUAGAUAUUAGGAAGAACACCAGUGGCGAAGGCGGCUUGCUGGACAGUAACUGACGUUGAGGCUCGAAAGCGUGGGGAGCAAACAGGAUUAGAUACCCGUGUAC